GCGACGGCCUAACACAUGCAAGUCGAGGGGUAACAUGAGUAGCUUGCUACUUGAUGACGACCGGCGCACGGGUGAGUAACGCGUAUGCAACCUUUCUUCAACAGGAGAAUAGCCCCCGGAAACGGGGAUUAAUGCUCCAUGAUGCUAUUUUAUUGCAUGAUAGAAUAGUUAAAGCUGAGGCGGUUGAAGGUGGGCAUGCGUGACAUUAGCUUGUUGGCGGGGUAACGGCCCACCAAGGCGACGAUGUCUAGGGGUUCUGAGAGGAAGGUCCCCCACACUGGUACUGAGACACGGACCAGACUCCUACGGGAGGCAGCAGUGAGGAAUAUUGGUCAAUGGACGCAAGUCUGAACCAGCCAUGUCGCGUGCAGGAAGACGGCCCUACGGGUUGUAAACUGCUUUUGUACGGGAAGAAAAUGUCUUACGUGUAAGACUUUGCCGGUACCGUACGAAUAAGCAUCGGCUAACUCCGUGCCAGCAGCCGCGGUAAUACGGAGGAUGCGAGCGUUAUCCGGAAUUAUUGGGUUUAAAGGGUGCGUAGGCGGAAUGGUAAGUCAGCGGUGAAAUACUGCAGCUCAACUGUAGUUGUGCCGUUGAUACUGUCAUUCUUGAGUAUAGAUGAGGUAGGCGGAAUGAGUAGUGUAGCGGUGAAAUGCAUAGAUAUUACUCAGAACACCGAUUGCGAAGGCAGCUUACUAAACUAUAACUGACGCUGAAGCACGAAAGCGUGGGUAUCAAACAGGAUUAGAUACCCUGGUAGUCCACGCUGUAAACGAUGAUUACUGGGUGUUUGGGGCGAAAGAGCUCAAGCGACUGCGCGAAAGCAUUAAGUAAUCCACCUGGGGGAGUACGUCGGCNACGAUGAAACUCAAAGGAAUUGACGGGGGCCCGC
rnacentral:rRNA from 1 species